CGCGCCUGCUUUGGGAGCAGGAUGCCGCAGGUUCAAAUCCUGUCAUCCCGA
rnacentral:tRNA from 1 species